GGUGUUCCUGGGCUGGAUCUGAGGCAAAUGAAAUGAAGUUGAAUGAUAUGAGUGGAAGUUGCACUCUCGAAAGAAAACCUGUCUGUUACGAAAGGAAAAGACUGAAAAGAACAUAAGCAAUGAAGAGUGUACACAGAGAAAAAG
rnacentral:lncRNA from 1 species